rnacentral:rRNA from 1 species
AUUGAACGCUGGCGGCAGGCCUAACACAUGCAAGUCGGACGAGUGGCGAACGGGUGAGUAACACGUGGGUGAUCUGCCUUGCACUUCGGGAUAAGCUUUGGAAACUGGGUCUAAUACCGGAUAGUGAAAGAUGAGCUCGCGGCCUAUGAGCUUUUUGGUGGGGUAAUGGCUACCACGGCGCGACGGGUAGCCGGCCUGAGAGGGUGUACGGCCACAUUGGGACUGGGAUACGGCCCAGACUCCUUCGGGAGGCAGCAAGGGGGGAACUUCCGCAAAGGAGGAAAGUCUGACGAAGCACCGCCGCGUGAGUGGUGACGGCCUUCGGGUUGGAAAGCUCUGUUAAUCGGGACGCGGUACCGGAAUAGAAAGCCACGGCUAACUACGUGCCAGCCGCCGCGGUAAUAC